rnacentral:rRNA from 1 species
CUCAGAUUGAACGCUGGCGGCAGGCCUAACACAUGCAAGUCGAGCGGAUGAAGGGUGCUUGCACCCUGAUUCAGCGGCGGACGGGUGAGUAAUGCCUAGGAAUCUGCCUGGUAGUGGGGGACAACGUUUCGAAAGGAACGCUAAUACCGCAUACGUCCUACGGGAGAAAGCAGGGGACCUUCGGGCCUUGCGCUAUCAGAUGAGCCUAGGUCGGAUUAGCUAGUUGGUGGGGUAAAGGCUCACCAAGGCGACGAUCCGUAACUGGUCUGAGAGGAUGAUCAGUCACACUGGAACUGAGACACGGUCCAGACUCCUACGGGAGGCAGCAGUGGGGAAUAUUGGACAAUGGGCGAAAGCCUGAUCCAGCCAUGCCGCGUGUGUGAAGAAGGUCUUCGGAUUGUAAAGCACUUUAAGUUGGGAGGAAGGGCAUUAACCUAAUACGUUAGUGUUUUGACGUUACCGACAGAAUAAGCACCGGCUAACUUCGUGCCAGCAGCCGCGGUAAUACGAAGGGUGCAAGCGUUAAUCGGAAUUACUGGGCGUAAAGCGCGCGUAGGUGGUUCAGCAAGUUGGAUGUGAAAGCCCCGGGGCUCAACCUGGGAACUGCAUCCAAAACUACUGAGCUAGAGUAUGGUAGAGGGUGGUGGAAUUUCCUGUGUAGCGGUGAAAUGCGUAGAUAUAGG